UUAUGUCAUAUCUUUCCGUGUUCUAGCAAUCUGUGACAACUCACAAUGGCGGCCACCUAUGAAAACUGAACACUUAAAAUUAUGUGUUGGCCUCACGUUUAAUACUCGUUAUUGAGCGAGCAGCUUUAUUGAUUCGUUAAUUAGCGAACAAGCUAGGCAGAAAACACCUUCUUCGAAAAUACACAUUCUGCUUAUUAGCUGCGUGCGCAAGCAUACAUUGUGAUACCUUUAGUUGACUACAACGCACACACAAUUUCACUAGAGUAUCCUGACUCGCCACAGUCAGGCCCAAAAUUGUUACAAGGCGGUCAGGCCAGCAGUAUUAGCAACAAUAACGUUAACAACACCUGCAACAGUAACACCAGCAUUCGAACGAGUAACAACUCCGACAAUAAAAACGGCCGGGGUGACCAGCGUUGUGCCGGCGUGAAAACAGGCGUCAUCGUCGUCGUCGUCUGGCACGUUUUUUGUGUGUUUGGGGGUGUGUGUCUGGGUGCGUGCGUGCGUGCGUGCGUGCGUGUCCAUCGACCACGUUUCCAAUAAUGGCAACAAUUUCGUUUGAUUCAGUAUUACAACAGGGAAUAUGGUAAGCAUCAUCGGACGCGCCUUGAUUCGCGUGCAGGUGGAUGACGUCUUUGUGUACGUAUAAUCAGGAAUUCGCGUAAACGACGACACUGUGAGAUCUUCGGGUCUUCAAGUUCGGAUCGCGUGCAUUGCAAAGUGGUGUCAACGAUUAAGUUUACGCUCAUACGAACUUAACAGCGCCUGCAAGCUCAGCUGCGUCUUGGGUAAAUGCGUGAGUUGCCCUAGUGAUAAUAAUGCAACAACGUGACAACGAUAUUAUAAUUAUUAUGCAGCCACUGACAAGCGACGUGUGACAGCGGGGGCGGCGUUAUCUGAGUGCCGCGUCACGCCUUCUGUGAGCUAGUGAAUAUUUUUGCAAGUGUCCGAUUGAUCUGAAACAAAACGAGGAAGCGUUUAAGAUAGCGGACAAUAAAAUGUCCAAGAAGAGAAUCGUCGGCCAAAUCCGCCGCCAAGUCACUCUCAUGGCCGUACGAACCGCAGUGCUUGCCUAGCUUAGACUGGCGUUAACAAAUUGUCCUACGUAUCCGCAAAACAAAAAGCCAACCGAAAAAAACCGUGAUAAGGUUGGCACAGAGAUCGAGCUAAACAGCGACGUAACAACGUCAUUGUAUCGGAUUGGCGAAGUAGGGACUCUGGUCGGGAUGGCGAAGUGGUCCGUCUGAAAAAAUGGGAUCCGUCUCCAAUCGACUUUCCCUACGGGCGUUUUUUCAGCAUCUGAAGGCCUAGUAUGUACACGGUACAUCCUCGGAAACUGUAGAAAAGUAGCCAGGAGACGAUUAGCGGAUCGGAAUACAAACGCGACGAAAGCGGCGUUCGACCGACGCCGUCGGGUGACAUGAACUGCUGCAGCGAUGGAUAAAAGGCUGGAUUACACCCCUCUUUUACGCCAUAUUAUUCCCCACCAUAACCAGCAACACGACAGUAAUUAUCAUUAUAUUCAUAGAUAUCCGAAAAAACAGCUGAGGCUGAACCGCCAGCAGCAGCUGCAGCAGUCGCUCCGAAGCCCCAAACUUCAACAACCUUCGAAUAGACUUCGAACGAAAGAAGUUAAACUUGGCAUUAUUAUCUCUCGACGACCCGACUGCACCGGCGUCGAUCCUCGACGUCGCAAUGAACCAUCACCAGCGGCAGUGCGGAUAGCUCGUAGUGGUACCCACUAUAUCAAAUCAACGUAAACAAGGAAGCAGAAAAAAUCGUAAUCAUCGCGGCAUUUUUUCGCACAAAGGUACCGCUUACGACGCCGAUGACCAUGUACGUGCUCGGUACACGCAUGCAACCUGGUUCGCUUCAUCAUGUUGAGAAAAAGAAACAAAAAAUACAGGUUGCCCCAUUUAUAUUUCCCUCAAAAAACGUCACCAUUUUGUCCCGUAUUAAAAAAUCCCAGGGGGCCUAGUAUCAUUUUUCUGUACUGCUACUGUAUUGCUUGCUGAGGGCAAAGCAACCUCUGCUCAAUCAAGUUUCUCGUUUGAUGGAGAGCAGCUUUCAAACAUUUUAGUUGUACAGAAGAGAAAAUUGCUCACUCGCUUUUUGGUUCGGGUUUAUGGCUAACAAUAACGACAUGAGAAUCGAGCGAGUCCUGCACUCUUCAGUUACGAACCGGAACAAUUUUCUAAGUUCGAACUUCAGCAGCGAAAGACUUCUCGUGAGUGCUGCUAAUACGAGCGGCCAUUGCGUUUUUUAGCUACCCGAAGAGCUGCCAUACACAAAUACCAAAACAACAACCUAACCGUAUCUCGAAACCGGACUGGAGAGCAGUUCUAAAAGGGCUGCAACAGAUUCUAAUGAUUUAUUAUUACGACCUGUAUUCCAUAUAGAUAUUCAAACGUCUGAUUAAGCAGCAUA
rnacentral:lncRNA from 1 species